rnacentral:rRNA from 1 species
UACGUAGGGUGCAAGCGUUGUCCGGAAUUAUUGGGCGUAAAGAGCUCGUAGGCGGUUUGUCGCGUCCGCUGUGAAAAUCCAGGGCUUAACCCUGGACCUGCAGUGGGUACGGGCAGACUAGAGUGCGGUAGGGGAGAUCGGAAUUCCUGGUGUAGCGGUGAAAUGCGCAGAUAUCAGGAGGAACACCAAUUGCGAAGGCAGCUCGCUGGGACGUUACUGACGCUGAGACGCGAAAGCGUGGGGAGCAAACAGG